rnacentral:tRNA from 1 species
GCCUUCGUGGUGUAGUGAUCAGUACGCUCGACUCGUAUUCGAGCAGUCCGUGGUUCGAGUCCCGGUGAGAGCA